rnacentral:rRNA from 1 species
UGCAUGUCUAAGUACAAGCCAUAUUAUGGUGAAACCGCGAAUGGCUCAUUAAAUCACACCUAAUCUACUGGAAUGUUAGCAGUUACUUGGAUAACUGAGGUAAUUCUUGAGCUAAUACAUGCGAAAAAUCCCGACUCACGAAGGGAUGCUUUUAUUAGAUCAAAACCAAACAGCUUCGGCUGUAACACUGGUGACUCUGAAUAACUUUGGGCUGAUCGCAUUGCCUUGAGCAGGCGACAUUUCCUUCGAAGGUGUGCCCUAUCAACUGUCGACUGUGAUAUAGACGCUCACAGUGGUUUUGACGGGUAACGGGGAAUCAGGGUUCGAUUCCGGAGAGGGAGCCUUAAAAACGGCUACCACAUCCAAGGAAGGCAGCAGGCACGCAAAUUACCCAAUGAACGAAGUUCGAGGUAGUGACGAAAAAUAACAAUACAAGACUCAUCCGAGGCCUUGUAAUUGGAAUGAGUACACUUUAAAACCGUUUCACGAGGAUCUAUUGGAGGGCAAGUCUGGUGCCAGCAGCCGCGGUAAUUCCGGCUCCAAUAGCGUAUAUUAAAGUUGUUGCGGUUAAAAAGCUCGUAGUUGGAUUUCUGCCGAGGACGACCGGUCCGCCCUCUGGGUGAGUAUCUGGCUCGGCCUGGGCAUCUUCUUGGAGAACGUAACUGCACUUGACUGUGUGGUGCGGUAUCCAGGACUUUUACUUUGAGGAAAUUAGAGUGU